AGGCUUAACACAUGCAAGUCGAGGGGUAACAGAGAAAAGCUUGCUUUUUUGCUGACGACCGGCGCACGGGUGCGUAACGCGUAUGCAAUCUACCUUUUGCUAAGGGAUAGCCCAGAGAAAUUUGGAUUAAUACCUUAUAGUAUGAUGACUUGGCAUCAAGAUAUCAUUAAAGGUUACGGCAAAAGAUGAGCAUGCGUUCUAUUAGCUAGUUGGUGUGGUAACGGCAUACCAAGGCAACGAUAGAUAGGGGUCCUGAGAGGGAGAUCCCCCACACUGGUACUGAGACACGGACCAGACUCCUACGGGAGGCAGCAGUGAGGAAUAUUGGACAAUGGAGGCAACUCUGAUCCAGCCAUGCCGCGUGCAGGAAGACUGCCCUAUGGGUUGUAAACUGCUUUUAUACAGGAAGAAACAUCUCUACGUGUAGAGAUUUGACGGUACUGUAAGAAUAAGGAUCGGCUAACUCCGUGCCAGCAGCCGCGGUAAUACGGAGGAUCCAAGCGUUAUCCGGAAUCAUUGGGUUUAAAGGGUCCGUAGGUGGAUAAUUAAGUCAGAGGUGAAAUCCUGCAGCUUAACUGUAGAAUUGCCUUUGAUACUGGUUGUCUUGAGUUAUUAUGAAGUGGUUAGAAUAUGUAGUGU
rnacentral:rRNA from 1 species